GGGUCUCCCCAUGAUGUCUGGGCUAGACUUGAACUCCUGGGCUUAAGCGAUCCUCCUGCCUUAGCCUCUCAAGUAGCUGGAACUACAGGUGUGCACCACACAACCUGGCUUCUCUUCUUCACAUAAAAAAUGCAAUCUAUAGAUGCAUGAGGAAGAGAUAAAUUUGCAGGUUUAACUUUAAAAGACCCAUGGGCAAUCAGCCACAGUGACCAGCUUGCUGUUUCCAGAAGACACCAAGAACUCUCCUAACUCUGGAUUUUUCCCCUGCUGUUAUUCUCUUCCCCUAAUAUCUGCUUGGUUUAAACCCUCACCUGCUUCAAGCCGGGCUCAAAUAUCAUGUUAUCAAGUUGAAGAAUGAUUCUUGAACAUUACACAAUGUGUGAGAACAGUCAACAAAAGCUGCCUGUAAAAGAACUGAAUAGGGAAAUAUAUUUAGUGUCCACUGCUUUUACUGAUUCUGUUGUUUUCUUUAUUAAACGAUAACACAUCAUUGUUGUCUUCUUCUAUGAUUUGAUAUCUAAUGAAAAACUUACACUAUUAUCAAAGUGAUAACUGUAAAAAUAUUUGAAUAACUAGAAAUGGAAAUGCAGAUGACACCUCAGAACGUUUCUGUCAUUGAUGUUGUUCAAUACAAUUCAUUUCAUGGUUCAGUUCAGCACAAUGUCCUGCUUGAACGAAAUAAUAAAGAGGAGAAUGCAGUAGAUUAAAGCAACAGUUGAGUUAUUAUACCAAAAAUAAGUGCUAUGUGAAUGAAUCAUAAACUUGACAGAUUUCUGCAUGAAGAAGCUAAUUUAGUAGAACUGUCAUGAUCAGAUCAUCUAUAUGCCUCUCUCUUGUAUUUUUUUGUUUCAAGAAAAAUUUUAUUAAAUGUUAACUGAGGCAUAGAGUUUAAUGCCACUAUAUUUUGAAAAUAUGUUUUUCUUAAUAAACCAAUAACAACAAAAUAGCACAUGAUUUAAAAGUGAAAUCUACUAACAAAGCCGAAACCAGUGUGUAUACACUUCUCUGCCUCAUACUUGUCUCACACUACACAAGUAAUCUCUUACCUGAAUAGGAUAUUAGCUAAGUUAUUUCUCUUAACCAAGAUAUGUUUGUUCAGUGUUGGCAUGCAAUCAAUUUUUUUGGCCAAUGAUACGUGUGGUACAUUACAAAAAUGGCUAAAAUUCUCACUCCUUUCUUUAGCCGUGUCCUUUUCAAUUGAUUUUUCUACUUUCCCCAUCAAGAGGUGGAGUUUAUUUCUUCACCUCUGUGUCUAGACUGCCCUGGUAAAUAGAAAGUGGUAGAAGUGACAAUGUGCUUUUCCCAAGCCUAUCUCUCAAGAGUCUUCCAUUUAACACUGUUUCAGAACUCUGCCACCACCAUGUGUACAAGUAUGGUCUAGCCUGCUUGUGAAUGAAAUACCACAUGGGGAGGAGAGAAGCUGUGCCAGCUGGCCCAGCAGCAGAUCCUACACACCUGAUUAGCCCAGAAAAAAAAACACUCAGAUAAACUCAGUUCAAAUUACCAAUCUGUAGAUAUGCAAGCUAAAUAAACAGUUGCUUAAAGUCACUAUGCUUGGAGUUGAUUGUUACAUGGCAACUGUGUAGUAGCUUCUAUCUUUGUUAGCAAAUUUAAAAAAAGUUACUGAUUUCAUCUUGAAUUACAGCUUGAGUUUUAGCUGGAAUAAGCAGUAGGCCCUUUAGAGACAGCAGAUUAGAUGAAAUAACUGGCUUGUUUGUCUCCUUUGUGUCUCCUCACUAGACCACCGUUCUAGGUACAGGUGAACAGCACCUGAACAAUAAGUAGCAGGAUGGCAAGUCCAUCCCCUUUAAAGCCAUGAAGCUUUCAGAGUAGAGUGGGCAUUGCCAAAGCUGAUCAGAUAGCUAACAGAAAAA